AUUUAUAUGGACAUUUUCCUCAAGGAGUUUGUUUUCUUCAUAAUUCCAUUCUUCCCUAAGAGAAUAAAUCCCAUCUCGUUAAACAAGGCCAUAACACAACACAGUCAGAGAGCCUCUUUUCUUCCCCCAAAGCCCUUUGCAAAACAAAUAUGCAUCCUCUUGUGCAAUCCUGUGGGGUAGGGAAGGGGCACCAGAGGGCAGAUCUGAGAUGGAAACCUCUGAUCAGCAUCGAUUGAUCCCUGAACCUCACCCAGAAUUUUGUAACAACUUCACACAAAUAGGAACUGGCACUUGUGCCAAAAGCAGCCUCCUCCACUCCCAGCUGCUUGCACCCUCCCUGGUGCUGGCACAGAGAUUUGAGUGGCUUGCAUAAAUGAGAAAGAAUGAGCUGCUCUGAAUUAAAAUUAAUUCAGCACAUGCACAGGGAAAGCUAAUUUUUAACAGAGGGAAGCCAUGCAUCCACCUCUCCCACAACACCCCAUGUUGGGAACAAAUGAGCUGAAAGCAGCGUUUUGCCAAUCCGUGCCAAAAUACCACUCCCAUAACACCCAGCCUUGGAAACAAAUGAGCUGAAAGCAGCAUUUUACCAACCUAUACCAAAAUACAUCACUAGAAAAGGGAAGAGACAAGAGCAUCAUGCCUUGAGCCAUGGAGUACUCCCGUGUAGGAUGCUGCAUCACUAAAAUUCUUGUUCCUUUCCAGCACUCUGUAAGGAAGCAUUACCUAUUCAUCGACCCCUGUUACAAACAGCGCAUCUGAAAGCUGCAGGAAUUCACAGCACUCGUUCUUUGUUCGUAACACUAUGCUUGUAUGACAUUUGUUUGUAAGUCUAAUUUAAUUAAAAAAACAGUAAAAUGCAAGUGUGGGUUUUUGGCGCUGGGCUGGCAGGGUGUCUGCGUGAAAAUGCCCCAGGGAGGGUGGCACAUUUAAGAGAAAUUAAAUUGUCUCUUUCCGCCCAGAAUAAACAUGGUGCUAAUCCCUCUAAUGGCCCUAAACAUCACUAGAACUGCGGAUCCAGCGACAAGUGUGCAAUAGGACCCAAUUAAGCUGCUCACACAUUUGAAAUCAUGGUCUCAUCGUGGUUUAGUCUGGAGUCUCUCAGUGGCUAAACGUGCUGAGACAAGCGAAAACACGAAACUUCAUUAAGCGCUGCACCAGCAGAUUGCUGGGACCUGACGACAAGGGUGAGUGGGAGGCAUCGACAUUUCUGCCACCUCCUCCCAGUUUCCAAAGGCAUAGGGAUCUCCAGGGAACCCUGGAUCCUCCAGCAUAGCCUGGAAUCCAUUAACAGGAACAUCCUGCAUAGGAAAGUGGUGUAAUUUUCCUCUGUGGGGUACCUGUGGGUCUCAGAUGGAGCACUGCAUCGAGUCUUGAAGGUAACACAUUAAUAAAAACAUAAAAAUUGUGAGAAUCCAGAAGGAAGUGGGAAAUUAUACUGUAAAGGCUUAGAAAAUAUGAGCUAUUGAAGAAAACGGAAAUGUUUAUGUAUAGCAAUAUUAAAAAGGAAGACAAUGAAGAAGAAGGAGGAGGAAGAGAAGAAGAAGGAGAAGGAGAAAAAAAGAACAAGAAAGGAGAAAGUCAAUGAGAAGUAGGAGGAAGAGGGGAAGGAGAAUGGAAAAAAGAGAUAAUUUUAUAUUUUACUCCCAUUUAAUAAUAUUAAAAAUAAUAUCAAAUCAGGUAUGCUUGAUGUCCCCUUCCCCUUCUCCUUUCUCUUCCCCUUCCCCUUCUCCUUCCUCUUCCCCUUUUUCCAUUCUCU
ensembl:lncRNA